rnacentral:sRNA from 1 species
UACGAGUAAGCUCUACCCGUCGUUGUGA